rnacentral:rRNA from 3 species
GACGAGGGACCCUAGCGUUGUUCGGAAUCAUUGGGCGUAAAGCGGGUGUAGGUGGCUUUGUAAGUCAGGUGUGAAAUCCCUGGGCUCAACCCAGGAAGUGCAUUUGAUACUGCGAAGCUUGAGUGCCGGAGAGGUUACUGGAAUACCUGGUGUAGUGGUGAAAUACGUAGAUAUCAGGUGGAACACCGGAGGCGAAGGCGGGUAACUGGCCGGACACUGACACUCAGACCCGAAAGCGUGGGGAUCAAACAGG